rnacentral:rRNA from 1 species
GAUGAACGCUGGCGGCGUGCCUAAUACAUGCAAGUCGAGCGAACGGACGAGAAGCUUGCUUCUCUGAUGUUAGCGGCGGACGGGUGAGUAACACGUGGAUAACCUACCUAUAAGACUGGGAUAACUUCGGGAAACCGGAGCUAAUACCGUAUAAUAUUUUGAACCGCAUGGUUCAAAGGUGAAAGACGGUCUUGCUGUCACUUCUAGAUGGAUCCGCGCUGCAUUAGCUAGUUGGUACGGUAACGGCUUACCAAGGCAACGAUGCAUAGCCGACCUGAGAGGGGGAUCGGCCACACUGGAACUGAGACACGGUCCAGACUCUUACGGGAGGCAGCAGUAGGGAAUCGUCCGCAAUGGGCGAAAGCCUGACGGAGCAACGCCGCGUGAGUGAUGAAGGUCUUCGGAUCGUAAAACUCUGUUAUUAGGGAAGAACAUAUGUGUAAGUAACUGUGCACAGCUUGACGGUACCUAAUCAGAAAGCCACGGCUAACUACGUG